CUGAACCAGCCAAGUAGCGUGAAGGAUGACUGCCCUAUGGGUUGUAAACUUCUUUUAUACGGGAAUAAAGUUUUCCACGUGUGGAAUUUUGUAUGUACCAUAUGAAUAAGGAUCGGCUAACUCCGUGCCAGCAGCCGCGGUAAUACGGAGGAUCCGAGCGUUAUCCGGAUUUAUUGGGUUUAAAGGGAGCGUAGGUGGACAGUUAAGUCAGUUGUGAAAGUUUGCGG
rnacentral:rRNA from 1 species